GUAUAUGUUGUCAAAUACUAUAACGUGAAAUGCUUGACUGCGAAGGCGGGAAUAACAUGCACCUUGUAUAAGUGAAUGGUUGGCGUCCAUUCGUGAUACUUGAAGACGACUCCCCAUCGCUAGAACUACACGGUCUUUGGAAAAGUGGAAGAGAAGAAGUGGCAUGCAGUAUUUUUGUACUGCACGACUAAAGGGAUUUGGUACGCGGUACGACUAGACUGGCGGGAAAUUAGGCGGCGCGAGCUAGUUAGACAAAGUUGUUGUCAAGGAGUCUGGCAUGUCAGACAUGUGAUCCUGCCAUCGGCACUAGUCAAACUACUUCCACGAAACCAUCUUAUGACAGAGACAGAAUGGAGGAACCUAGGUGUUCAACAGAGCCCUGGCUGGGUACACUAUAUGAUCCAUAAACCUGCACCCAGCACGUGUAUGCGCAACUGUUCCAUGAUGGUUCGCUAUCAUCAUUCCCUACACGCGGAAAUAUUGACCCACUGAUCCAAUGAAAGAGCCUCAUAUUUUGCUGUUCAAGAGACCAAGAACUGAUGGAUAUCAAGACUAAGUAAUGUCCUUUCAUCAAUUUCUGUACACUGUGAAUUGCAGCUUGGUAAAUUUUGAGUGUGCCAAAGACUCUUGUCACAGUUGGCAAUGGGGCAUAUGUAAAUGCAUGUAGAAGUUUAUCUCACGAUAUUCAAGUUUGGUUUUCAGUGUUGAAAAUGUUUGUAAUAUACAUGUAAUAUAUGUACCUGGGCAACUUGUAGCCUAAGUAGCAACUUUGAUUGUUUUUUCCCAACAUUGUAAUAUGUGAUACAUAUGCUUAGGAAAACAGCAGAACAUACGGUGACGGUCUGAGCCUUGAUGCA